AUUAUGUCUGGGUCUCGCUCGCUGAUUUCUCAGUACAACAUUUUGGAGGCCCCAGCGAGACAGCAGCGUACAGUGUCGAAGCAGAGACCCACCUGGAAAGGACUUUGGCCUUGGGAGGGGGGAAUUGUUCUGUUCUGACUUUUAGGGGAGCUGGCCCCUGAUGGUGUUCCAGGGCCCCAGAACUCAGGAGUAGGAGAAACCUCCCUCCCCGACUCCGACUGUACCUCAUUUCAGCCCUCGUGGACCUCGUAACCCUCCGGAGGUUGACCCUGUCAAGGAGAAAAUCAACCUCUUCAGCAGACAUUGGAGAGCGCAAUUGUAAGAGCCCAAAUGGCUCUAGGUUGGACUUCAGACGAGAAAAGUACAGCUGUCAUCUCACUGAUACUUGAAGCUUUCCCAGAUUUCCAGCUUCAAGGAGAAGGUGAAACUUGCACUGAGCCUUGAAAGAAGCUAAGGAUCUAAGAGGGAAAGGAAUCAACACCGUAUUUGUAUCAUAAAAAGAAUUUGGUAAGACUCAGAAGGAAGAAAUCUUGGUCAAGAUUUAUGCUUGAGCCGGUUCUGAAUAUUCCUCUCCUGGCCACACCAGAGGAUGGACAAUGCACACAGAACUCACUCACAGAUGCUGGAUACCCAGUCCUCACUUCCUCCUAACCAAUAAUAAUAGCUUAUAUUUAUAUAACACUUCAAGGCCUGCAAAGCACCCUGCAGAUAUUAUUUCAUCUGAUCCUCAUGAUCCUCUGAGCAUGGCUGUCUUGACAUGAAAGUGGGAAAAUGCCUUCAGAGCAGCCAAAUUGUGCCCAUGUGCAAGAGAUGAGGAUAUGUGUGUGACAUAUAAGCUGGAAUGUACAUGGAAGAUGAGAC